rnacentral:rRNA from 1 species
AACGAACGCUGGCGGCGUGUUUAAGACAUGCAAGUCGCACGGUGUCAUUUUGGUAGCAAUACUUGAAUGGCAUAGUGGCGCACGGGUGAGUAACACGUGAAUUACAUGCCCUAUAGAGGGGGAUAGCCCAGGGAAACUUGGAUUAAUACCCCAUGGUCUCGCAAGAGUAAAGGUGGCCGCAAGGCUGUCGCUAUAGGAUUGGUUCGCGCCCUAUCAGCUUGUUGGCGGGGUAACGGCCCACCAAGGCUACGACGGGUACCUGGUCUGAGAGGACGAUCAGGCACACUGGAACUGAGACACGGUCCAGACACCUACCGGUGGCAGCAGUCGAGAAUAAUUCACAAUGGGGGCAACCCUGAUGGUGCAACGCCGCGUGGAGGAUGACGGUCUUCGGAUUGUAAACUCCUGUCAUCCGGCAGUAAGACCUGGGAGUUAAUAGCUCACAGGGUUGAUAGUACCGGAAGAGGAAGGGACGGCUAACUUCGUGCCAGCCGCCGCAGUAAUAC